GAAGGGCUCGCGGCUGAUUAGCUAGUUGGAAUGGUAAAGGCACACCAAGGCGACGAUCAGUAACUGGUCUGAGAGGAUGAGCAGUCACACUGGAACUGAGAAACGGUCCAGACUCCUACGGGAGGCAGCAGUGGGGAAUUUUCCGCAAUGGGCGAAAGCCUGACGGAGCAAUACCGCGUGAGGGAGGAAGGUUCUUGGAUUGUAAACCUCUUUUCUAGGGGAAUAAAAAAAUGAAGGUACCCUAGGAAUAAGCAUCGGCUAACUCCGUGCCAGCAGCCGCGGUAAUACGGAGGAUGCAAGCGUUAUCCGGAAUUAUUGGGCGUAAAGAGUCCGUAGGUGGAAGUUCAAGUCUGCGGUCAAAGAAUGGAGCUUAACUCCAUAGAGGCCGUGGAAACUGAGCAACUAGAGUGCGGUAGGGGUAACGGGAAUUCCCAGUGUAGCGGUGAAGUGCGUAGA
rnacentral:rRNA from 1 species